rnacentral:rRNA from 1 species
GACGAACGCUGGCGGCGUGCUUAACACAUGCAAGUCGAACGAUGAACCUCGAAAUGAUUUCUUCGGAAAGAUUUUUGAGAGGAUUAGUGGCGAACGGGUGAGUAACGCGUGAGCAACCUGCCUUAGACAAGGGGAUAGCCUCGGGAAACCGUGAUUAAUACCCUAUGAGACUCCACUUACGAGUGUAAGAGAAGUUAAAGCUAUUGCGGUCUAAGAUGGGCUCGCGUCUGAUUAGCUAGUUGGUGAGAUAAAAGCCCACCAAGGCGACGAUCAGUAACCGGCUGGAGAGAGUGACCGGUCACAUUGGAACUGAGACACGGUCCAAACUCCUACGGGAGGCAGCAGUGGGGAAUAUUGCACAAUGGGGGCAACCCUGAUGCAGCGACGCCGCGUGAGCGAUGAAGGAAUUCGUUUCGUAAAGCUCUGUCCUUGGAGAAGAUAAUGACGGUAACCAAGGAGGAAGCACCGGCUAAAUACGUG